GAUGAACGCUGACAGAAUGCUUAACACAUGCAAGUCAACUGUGGCGGACGGGUGAGUAACGCGUAAAGAACUUGCCUCACAGUUAGGGACAACAUUUGGAAACGAAUGCUAAUACCUGAUACUGUGAGGGAGCUUUGCGUCCCAUUAGCUAGUUGGAGAGUUAACGGCUCACCAAGGCGAUGAUGGGUAGCCGGCCUGAGAGGGGGAUCGGCCACAAGGGGACUGAGAUACGGGCCUUGCUCCUACGGGAGGCAGCAGUGGUGGAUAGAGGACGAUGGACCAAAGUCUAAUCCAGCAAUUCUGAGGGAAAGAUUACGUUUUCGGAAUGUAUGGUGCUUUCAGUUGGGAAGCGGUACCAGCAGAAGAAGUGACGGCUAAAGUCGUGCCAGCAGCCGCGGUAAUUC
rnacentral:rRNA from 1 species